GACGAACGCUGGCGGCGUGCUUAACACAUGCAAGUCGAACGGAAAGGCCCUGCUUGCAGGGUACUCGAGUGGCGAACGGGUGAGUAACACGUGGGUGAUCUGCCCUGCACUUCGGGAUAAGCCUUGGAAACUGGGUCUAAUACCGGAUAGGAGCCAUUUUUAUUGUGAUGGUUGGAAAGUUUUUUCGGUGUAGGAUGAGCUCGCGGCCUAUCAGCGUGUUGGUGGGGUAAUGGCCUACCAAGGCGGCGACGGGUAGCCGGCCUGGGAGGGUGGACGGCCACAUUGGGACUGAGAUAAGGCCCAGACUCCUGCGGGAGGCAGCAGUGGGGAAUAUUGCACAAUGGGCGCAAGCCUGAUGCAGCGACGCCGCGUGGGGGAUGACGGCCUUCGGGUUGUAAACUCCUUUCGCUAGGGACGAAGCUUUUUGUGACGGUACCUAGAUAAGAAGCACCGGCUAACUACGUG
rnacentral:rRNA from 1 species